rnacentral:lncRNA from 1 species
CUUUUUGAUGUCUUCACCCUUAAUUCUUCCUCGUCCAUUCUUUCUUUAGCUUCAUGAGGCUCAAAUCCAUGGAGUUUUCCUUUCGAAAUAAUAAAGAAAGUAUUGUAAACACAAAGAAUAUUUCUAUACUAUUAAUAGCCAUAACAUUAAUUCUCCUAACUGUUGUUCAUCUAAAUUAUCCAUUUUUGAUGUACUCCUCAAAGAAUCCUGCAGAAAUUGAUGAAUCCGUAAAGAUUAAGGAUCAAGAUUAUGAAAAGUGUGACAUUUCUACGGGUGAAUGGGUUCCGAAUCCCGAGGCGCCAUACUACACGAAUAUGACUUGUUCGUCAAUCCAUGAGCACCAGAACUGCAUGAAAUAUGGAAGGCCAGAUAGAGAUUUCAUGAAAUGGAAGUGGAAACCAGAUGGAUGUGAUUUGCCUGUUUUCAAUCCUUAUCAAUUUCUGGAUAUUGUGAGGGGCAAAUCCAUGGCCUUUAUUGGAGACUCUGUGGGGAGGAACCAAUUGCAGUCCUUGAUAUGCCUCUUAUCCAGGGUAAUUAUAUAUGUAUAAUAUUUCAUUUUUCACAAGUAAUUAGAUACCCUGGUAUGUUGCAAUGCAUGAUUUGUUCAAGACGAUUUAAGCAUUACACCUUUUUCUUCCUUUUUGUUUUUGGGUGUGGGUUGCCUGAUUAGAGGUAAGGGUAUUAAAUGGGGUGAGCUGAGCAACUCGAAUUGUUUGCCAUCAGGUUCGACUCGGCUCACUCUAGGCUCACCCCUGGUUAGGAUGAGCGGAGAUGGCUCGCCAAUUUUUUUAGCUUAAAUUAUUAUUUCACCCAUUAUGACAAGUCAACUCGUAGCUCGUGAGCCAACUCGCACAAACAAUUCGAUGAGCUCAUGAGUUAACUCAUGCGAGCCAACGAAUGAGUUGCAAGAAGAUUUCAGUGUUCAGCUCGCCCCUUAACACUGCUAGUUGGGGGACUAUAGAUUGAAGUGAUUAACUAGUAGAUAAUUGUUUGCUUAGAAGUUACUCCUGUUGCUUGUUAAUUGAGCUUCAUCUAAAGCUAAUUUUGCAUUAUAUACUAGGAUAUAAUUGGUAUCAUAUGAAUUAUUACUACUAUUCACUACAUAUAGCAUGAUGAAAAUGUUAAUCUUCUUGAUUAAGUUUUUUCUUCUCUUCCUUUGGUUUAACUUGAUUAAUUAGUUCAUUCUACAUUAUGUCCAUUUCCAAAGAGGUCAAGUAUACUGGUUAGUUUUGUUGGGAAAAAUGGGUGAUUUUUGUGUAGAUAUUUAUCAUAAUAACAAACAUUAAUAUUUAUAAUUCAACUAUUAUCAUAACCAUAAUAAUUCAAUAAUAACAUGAACAUAAAAUAAGUAGAGAAGAGUUAGAAAAAAAGGAAGUCUUGGGAGCCACAUAGAAGAGGUUGUCCUAAAGUUAUGUUACCUACCUUUUGUGCGAGUACUUUCGGUACUACACGGCUCCAUGAUAAAAUCCAUAUGACUCACAGUCAGUUUUCUUUCUGUGGCCACGACCACAAAGAGAUAAAGAUUGGGCCUCCCAUCGAGUUGCCAAAAACUAUAGAAAUAUAAUAUAAAAUAUAAAUGUAGUAUUUUGUUUUUCCUUGUAUCUCUAGUUUUUUUCUUCAAUGAAAAAACUCCCUUGUAUAUGGAUAAAUUUAACCCCCACAAUUAAACCAUUAAAAUAUAAGCUAUGUAUGAACUAUAAUGUUUUAAUUUUAUGUUAGAACUUAAAAUUAAAGUGUUUUAAUUUUUGAAAUUAAAGGUCGAAACUUAUUUCAAGUUACAACAAGUUCACCUAAGAAUUAAUGCUAGAAUAUGAAAAGUGAAGAAAAAUCUACCCAAAUUUAUGUGGAUUUCGACGUCUACUGUGGGAUAAGACUGUUGUAUUAAUAGUAUGCACUGCCGUUGUGCUUGAGAACCUAAGGCUGAAAACACAAAGCAAAAAGGCUCAAAUAUAUUAAUAUUUUAGAAUACACUUCCAUUUAAUUCGAAAAUAUUAGCAGAUUGGAUUCGAUAAUGUACAAAAUUUAAUAGCAAAUGAAGUAAUUUAUGAAUUAGUUAUGUUUUCAUUUUCUGUACGUCAACUGUAAGUUGGCUUGAUGUAUUGGCUUACCCCGUUUGGUACCCAUUUUUAUAAAAAUGAGAAUGAAAAAUAUAGUCGUUACAAGAUCCACAGAAAAGAUAGAAAGUUAAAUAUGGUGACUUGAUGUGAUAGAUAACGAUUAUAUUUUUCAUUUUUUUAGCCAAAGAAUGAGAAUUAAAUGGGGUAAUAUAGCAAAUCAAAUUAUUAAUUAACAUCUACAUUUACACUUAAUUUUAAAUAAUUGUUUUUUGGAAAAUAAAAGACUAUGAAAUAUUUGAUUGAUCUGAAAAAUUAUUUUUCCCAUAAUAGGAUAUUUAAAUAAUAAUUACUAGAAGUAGGUGACGAAGUAGAGGGAAUCUAAGCGUGGGAACCUAAGUUCCUAUACAAUUACUAGAUCUAGAAAAUUGUUGUUUACACAGAGUUGGUCACUAACCCUUUACCCAACACACGACUAAAGCUUCCUUUUAUAAUUUCUAGGAUUAGGUAUAUAUCAUUCAUUUCAUGCUCUCGUUCAAAUCAAACCACUUUGUCUACGUGUAUGUAUGUCCCAUUCUUUUCAUAAAAUGAAUUUUUGAAUAGUGUAUUGAUGAGAAAUGUGUGAUUAAAAAAUAAAGAAAAGUUUUGAAUUUGUGUGUAAUAUUAUUUUAUUGAAAAAUAUGUGGUUGAAAUAAUUUUAAAAUACUGUUUAAGAAUGUAUUUUUUUAAAAGAACGUAGCUCAAACACGGGUAUAAUUCUUACAAUUUUUUUCUGAAACAUCAAUAUUCUGUAAUUUAUUAUAGGAAAAGCCAAACAAUGCAUGUGCUGAACUUGCUGGAAAAUGUUGGUAAAUAUCAGAUGAAUCAUGGGGACCCUUUAAUUAGUUUGUCAUCUUUAGUCAUGUCUACUUAGUUUGUAGGGCAUAUGAACAUUUAAAAAAAAAAUGUUUGAUUUUUAAUUUCUUGUGCAUCUAAGUGUUCAAAUUAUUCAUAAUUGUUAUGUGUUAUUAACUCGUUUAGUAUGUUCAAGAAUUUCAAGUCAUUUUUUCUGCUCUUAGAUUUUCAAAAAUUUCAGGUUGAAAAUCCAAUCAACGUUUCACAUACUGAGGAUGAACAUUUCAGAAGUUGGAACUACGUGAGUUACAACUUCACCCUAGCCAGCUAUUGGACACCCUUUUUGGUGAAAUCCAAAGAGGCAGACCCUGAUGGUCCAACUCAUACGGGCCUAUUCAAUCUCUACCUUGACGAGGUUGACAAGUCGUGGACUAACCAUAUAGAUGAAUUCAACUAUAUUGUCCUCAACGCGGGUACCUGGUUUUACCGGCCAUCCAUGUACUAUGAAAAUAGGCGCCUCGUGGGCUGUCGCUUCUGCCAAAUUCCAAAUGUUACGGACUUUCCAACCACUUACGGUGCCCGAAGGGCGUUCAAAACAGCUUUUAAAGCUAUAAACAGUUUAGAAAACUUCAAAGGUGUAACAUUUUUAAGGACUUAUACACCAUCCCACUUUGAGAAUGGGUUGUGGAACCAAGGUGGGAAUUGUGUAAGACAGAGGCCUUUUAGAAGCAAUGAGAUUAUUUUGGAAGGUGCAAAUUUGGAUCUUUAUAUGACUCAAAUUGAGGAAUUUAGGAUUGCAGAAAGAGAAGGGAAGAAGAAGGGGUCCAGUUUCAGAUUAAUUGAUGUAACACAGGCUAUGUUGUUGAGGCCAGAUGGGCACCCCAGUAGAUAUGGGCAUUGGCCACAUGAAAAUGUAGUCAUGUAUAAUGAUUGUGUGCAUUGGUGUUUGCCGGGACCUGUUGAUUCAUGGAAUGAUUUCUUGCUUCCUUUGUUGAAGAUUGAGCGCAGAAGAUCCCACAAGGAAAGAAAUUCUCUACCCUGACCAAAGACGAUUUUUCUCUUUUUAUCCAAUUCUGUUAAGUGUAUUCUUUUAAGAAAUAUUGGUUAUAUUUGCAACGUAUUUAAUGGAGCAAAUUUUUUUAAAAAUUGACCGAGUGUUAUCAUCUCUCAAUUUGCAAUCAACCAUUCUCUCUGAACAAUUUUCCUAUAGUCUCUCUUUGUUUUCUUUAGUAACUUUAAGGUCAUGGGUUCUAAGAACUCGAAUAGGCCCAAUCCUAUUACAA